GAAGUUAGCGCUCGGAGACAAAGGGGUCAGUUUACAUUUGGUUAUUGGCUGUUGGGGGAGUGGAGCAGAGGGAGCCAAUCAGAAGCCAGUGCUCGGAGACAAAGGGGUUGGUUUCCAUUCGGUUGUUGGCGGAGUGGAGCUGAGGGAGACGCGUCACAGCCUGGGAGGUGCCCAUUGACACUCAGACCGAAGACCCGUUCCAGGAUGGACGUGCUGAGAAGGUAUCUCAGGAGGAAGGUGGCCCCGGAGCCAGAGGGGACCAGCUGCCAGCGUCCCCAGACAGAGAGCUGCCCCUCCAUCCGCAUGGCAUGGGAAGCAGGCCCCGGCCACCCCAGGAGAUGGUCCUGCUCGGCCUUGCUCACUGGGAGGAAACCAGCCCCCAGGGCUGGUGCUGAGCAGAGAGAGACAACAUCCAGGCCGAGAUGGAGGUGGCCUAAGUUCAAUCUGGGCAGGCAGGACUCAGCCCAUGGCAGGAGCCAGGCAACGCAGCUCUGGGUUUGCUUCUGCUGGAAGGCCUGCCCUCAUCCCAGCUGUGUGGGCCAGCAGGAGGCAUUCCCAGGGCAGGAGCUGGGGGAUCGCUGCCUCAGCUGCUUAACUGUUGCCGGAGAGGAGAGCAGCUACUCUCUGGAGGUUCUCUGCAACACGGAGGCUGAGUGGUCCUCCACUGCAGCAAGAGUCACCCUCUGCCCUUGUCUCUCUGAUGCAGAGACCCCCACAGACCAGUCAGAGA